CCUACGGGUGGCAGCAGUGAGGAAUAUUGGUCAAUGGACGAGAGUCUGAACCAGCCAAGUAGCGUGAAGGAUGACUGCCCUAUGGUUUGUAGACUUCUUUUAUAUGGGAAUAAAAUGUUCCACGUGUGGGAUUUUGUAUGUACCAUUUGAAUAAGGAUCGGCUAACUCCGUGCCAGCAGCCGCGGUAAUACGGAGGCUCCGAGCGUUAUCCGGAUUUAUUGGGUUUAAAGGGAGCGUAGGUGGAUUGUUAAGUCAGUUGUGAAAGUUUGCGGCUCAACCGUAAAAUUGCAGUUGAAACUGGCAGUCUGGAGUACAGUAGAGGUGGGCGGAAUUCGUGGUGUAGCGGUGAAAUGCUUAGAUAUCACGAAGAACUCCGAUUGCGAAGGCAGCUCACUGGACUGCAACUGACACUGAGGCUCGAAAGUGUGGGUAUCAAACAGGAUUAGAUACCCUAGUAGUC
rnacentral:rRNA from 1 species